rnacentral:rRNA from 1 species
UACGUAGGGUGCAAGCGUUAAUCGGAAUUACUGGGCGUAAAGCGUGCGCAGGCGGUUCGCUAAGACAGAUGUGAAAUCCCCGGGCUCAACCCUGGGAACUGCAUUUGUGACUGCACAGCUGGAGUGCGGCAGAGGGGGAUGGAAUUCCGCGUGUAGCAGUGAAAUGCGUAGAUAUGCGGAGGAACACCGGUGGCGAAGGCGGCCUUCUGGACGGAUAUUGACGCUGAUACGCGAAAGCGUGGGGAGCAAACAGG